GAUUUGAGCCUUUUAAGCUCAAGAAAAAGAGUACAUGCAAAUUUAUAGGUUACAAACAUGUAACUUUAGCUCAAUGAAUAGACAUUGAAAUAUGCUUGAAAUAAUUAUGUAAUUUCCUUUCUUAGUCUAAAUUAUAAUUUCACAUUUUAACAUCAGUCUAAAAAAAGCACUAAAACACACACAAAAUAAAUAAUUAUGUCAUCAACAACAUCGUUACUCUUUUCAUUACAUUCUUUUAAUUAUCAAAGAAGUCGUUGUAGUAUAGUGGUAAGUAUUCCCGCCUGUCACGCGGGUGACCCGGGUUCGAUCCCCGGCAACGGCGAUUUUAUUUUAUUUUUCAAAAGCUACAGUCAUAGGAUAAUUAAAAAAAAAUCAACUUUAUUCCUCCAAAGAACUCUCGACCAGCAUUGCAAAAUCCAUUUUCUUCUGAUUAUUAUUUUACUUUGUUCUAUAUCAAAAUAUAAAGUAGUGUUUAUAGAAUAAUCCAUCUGGUGCUACUGCUGUUAAGUGUUAGUAUAUACUCCUCAGUUAACCUAUAAAGGUGUAUACCAUUGCAGAAAUUACAAGAGUUUGAUUAGAUUUUGAUUAUUGAAGCACUGAGUAGAAAACCAAGGAUAUAGCCAUUUCAUUUAAGUUUUGAGAUUAAAUUAAAUUUUUAAUUUUGAUUCAUACAAACUUAACACUACAUGGAAUUCUUCUAUAUAUGAAAAUCCUGCAGAUUUAAAAUUUGUUUCAUUUAAAUGAAUGUUGUUUGCCAAUUAUUUGUAGUUAGUUUGUGAUUAUUUAGAUUAGAUAUGGUUGGUUAUUAGAAAAUUUGAUUGGGUUAGUUUGGAGUUAUUUUAAUUAAAAGAGUUUAAAUAUAAAUAAACACAUUUUUUUUUUUUAAUGAAAGAUUAUGCAAGAUCAAAUUAAAACUGAAAAUGGAUGGUAUUAGAGUUUUUCUUAUAAAAGAAAUUAGGAAAAUGUAAUGAAAAUAUAAAGAAUUAGUUAAAAAUAUAUUGAUAAAGAAUAAUUAGAAAAUAAAUGAGAGAAUUGAAGUUAGAAAAGUAAAGUAAAGUAAUAACGACUUAAACAGUAAUGUAACAGAUUUAAACUACUUUAACUUCUUCUCAUUUAAUUUUUGAAUUAACAAAAUUUUAAAUUUAAAAAGUUUCUGCCUAUAAAUACAGCUUUCCCUCCACCCAUUUUUCUUCAUCGCAAAGACUUUGAAUUCCUCAAACCAUAAACUCCGAAGAAAAAUCCAUCGUUCCAAAGAAAACUCUCUCCCAAUGUCUGCAGCCGCCUCUUCCUCUUCCUCUCACUCACAACCCCCUCGUUCUCAGCAACAAAUGAUCCAUAAAUUCAUCGAUGCUUUGCGCCAACAGGUGAAUAAUAUAUCAUCAUCUUCACUCUCUGUUUUUUCAAUUUUCUUGAGUUCUGAUUGGGUUUCUUUCUAGGGAUUUCUUGAUGAUGAUUUCAAUAACCGGAGAACUGCCCCUGGGCAUCUAGAUUCAUUGGUAACAUUCUGCGUCGAGUCCGAACCUAAGCUCGAAAUCAUCCAGAAAUCUCUGUAAGAUUCAAAAACCCUAAAAACCCUAACACGGUUCCUUUUCUUUCUUUUUUUUUUUUUGGUAUUUAAUGUAAUUACUUCGUUCCGUUUUGGUUCUUUCAGGGAAGGUGAGCAUUUGGAUUUUCGUACUGCGAUUAGCACUGCAGAAAUGAUCCGAUCUGCUGCGGCAAGGUAAUUUCGGAUCAAUUCGAUUUAAAAUUCUUGUUUCUGUUUCUUUUAUAAAAGUGAGUUUGAGGAUAAUUUGAAGGGUUUUGUUUAUGAUUAUGAUCUGAUCGAACAGAGUCGGUGGAUCUCGAGUAGCAAGUGCUUGUAUUGCAUUACAAGAGCAUUUGAAUAACAAUAACCUUAAUGGGUAAUCAACUGUGUUAAUUAGUUUAACUAGUAAGUCUUUAAAACAAUUUGAUGAUGAUUAUUCUUAAAUCUUAUUAUUAUUUUUACUUUUUCUUCGUCAGUUCAAAAGAAGCUUACAAGAAACUCUCCUGGGAAUACUAUGUCAUACGUGAUUCUUUCCACCACAUGCUUCAAGUAAUUUUAUUUCCUCAUUUUUUUCUUUAAUAUAUAUAAAUGAUUUCUUGAAAAUUUUACCAAGAUAUCAAUUAUUUCUUGUGUUGGUUUUUGUGAUUUAACAGGCUGAGAAGACAGUGGAGGUUUAAGAGAGAUUAAUGAAGGAUGAAGCAAGAUUUGGUGAUAAAUAAAGAGCUUGUUUAGUUAGUUUCAUUUUUUGGAUUUGUAAUAUUUUUUUUUAAACAAGCUUGUUUGGACAAACAUAUAUACUCUACAAGAAUACUAAUAGAAUUGACUUUGGAAAUUUUAGUGUUUUCUUUUAUUCUUUUCUAUUAUCUCUCUUUCUUGGUUCAUUUUUAUAGUUAAACUUGCAAAAUAAUGUUAAUACUUAUUAAUCUUGCACCUAAAAUUGUUCUUGUGUGUUAAAAAAUUUCAGUUUGCUUAUAAUUAGUUGCUUGAUGUACUAUGAUUUUUUUUAAAGAGAGGUUUACCUAUUUCAAGGUUUAUGUUCUCAUGACAAAAGCUUGAGCAAAUAGAACAACAUUUGUUUCUUCUUCCCAUCAUUUAUAAUUCCUAAAUUAAUUAUUGAAUUUUAAGAAGGUAUCACAAGUUUUUCCUAUAAAUGUAAUUUGAGUUUUACCAAAUAACCUUCUUUGUUUUCAAAAUUAAAUAAAUAAAAAACUAGAUGAGAACAACUAAGGGUAAGGGUAACUAGUUUGAGUAAUUAAGUAAGAAAAAUUACAAAAAAAAAAAAAAAAGCUACAAAAACGAUAAAAGAACAACCCUCUCAACAAUUUGAAGCGGACAAUUUAAAUUGUUUGUGUUCUCGUAUAGUCUAUAGAUUAUAAUGGUGUUCUCGUAGUAUAUAGAUUAUAAUAGUUUGUUGUUAUUUUUCUAGUUUUUUUUAUGAUACUAGAUGUUUCUAAGAAUUUAAAAUAAUUUUUAAAUUAAAAAUUGAUUUUUUUAUCUUUUUAUUUUCCAUAUAUUAAAAAGAACAAAGAUAUUCUGAUGUCACAUGCCCAUAAAAAUGGUUAGCCUACUAGAAUUAGUAGGAUACACAUUGAUUUAAGCAAAGAUCAGGAGGUCAAGCUGGAAUGAGAAAUUUUUUAACUUGUCUUGAGAGAUUUCUUCUUGAUCAGUAAAAAUAAUAACAAUAAUAAAUAAAAUAACUUAGUGUCUUUUAGCUAUAUGGAUGCUUUUGUUUAAUAGUUUUGUGUAGAAAGAAAAUUGUUAUGGAUAGAAAAAAAAAGGUCAGUUACAAAAAAAAGAUAAAAAAAUAGUAAAAGGAUUCUACAAUCCCUUUGACGUUUGAGGUCUCUUUCAUCGACCUUGUUUCUUUCACAUCAAGCUUUAAUUUUCCACCACUAGGUAGAUUUUUUUUUGUAAGCCCUAGACUUUGUGUUCUCAGUAGUUUCUAAAGUGUUGAAGAAAACCAAGUUUAGUGUUGUGGUGUUGUUGUGAUUAGGAAACCAUAUCAAUGAAAAGCCCAAGUGUUGAGGUGAAGGAGGUUGGAUGCUAAAAGAAUGUGAGAAGAGAAGACAUGAAGAGUUUUGACUAAGUAGAAGAAGUUGGGUGUGAUGAGGUUGGUAGACGACCAAAAGGUUAUUGAAGAACCUCUAAACACAUGUUUAGGUGGCUAAGGGAUAGUGUUGUGUUUGAGUGGACAUGAUCUUGUCCAGGCGUGGAGACAAGGGCAAUAAGGCUGGUGAGCUAAGUGUUAGAUUGAAGGCAAGCUCCCGUCCUUAAACUUUCUAUACGAAAGCUAAAGAAUUUUUUUUAAUUCAUCUAAUUAUAGUUAGGAUAAUUUACAUGAAUCAAACAAAACCCAAAUAUGUUUACGGCUCAUGUAACAAGAUACAAAAGUCCAUGAAGUCGAUGAAAUAGUUUCAUAGUUUUCAGAUUUUCCCUUAAAUAUUACCGACGAUUCGUUACUUCUCUUUUUUCUUAUUCUUUGCGAUUUAUUCAUCUUCUCUUCUAGAUUUUCUUUCUUAUAUUUUAAAAUGGUUUAUUCUUCUGUUUAAAUCUCAUGUUUCAUUUAAACCAUUUUUGGUAAGAUUCUUUUAAGCUACUUCAUCUUCCACAUAUUCGAGUAUAUCAGGAUUGUUUAAAUAUUAUUUUGACAUGAUUUAAACGAUCAUUUACCAUUGUCAACACGGUUGUUUACCAUGAUCAACACAAUCAUUUAAAUUUGAAACAUUUUUUUCAUCUUUUAAAAUGAACUAUGUACAUGAUCGUGUUGGCCUGGUCUAAACGAUCGCUUACCAUAAUUAACAUGAUCGUUUAGCAUGGUCAACACAAUCGUUUGAUUUGAAGUUUUUAACGAUAAUUUACAUUGGUCUACACGAUCGCUUAUCAUAAUCAACACGAUCGUUUUCCAUGAUCAAUACAAACAUUUGUCUAGAUUAACACGAUAGUUUAGCAUGGUCCAACAUGAUCGUUUAAAUUUGAAACCUUUUAUCCCAUCGCUAAAAAAGAACUACACGGCCGUGUAUCAUGACCUAAACGAUAGUAGAUCAUUUGUUUAAACUACAUUACACAAUCAUUUAGAAGAAAAUUACCCGCCUACGCGGGUGGUAGAUUAAUCAAGUGUUGACUAAAGCAUUUUUGGUACUUUUUUUAUUGUGGGUUUAUAAGCUUUUUCCGUUUUUAAAAUUGUUCUUCAUAGUGUAAUAUUUUACCGGUUUUUAUUUAUUUAUUUUUAAAACUUCCCAUAGUUAUGCGUAAGUGUAGAUAAUAAAGAACUCUUCAUUUAUGUGCCUCAUGCACCAACAUUAUGUAAUCACAACCUUUAUUAUUUGUAAGAUGUGGAAUGAUGUAGUAAAAUUAAAUUUAAAUAUAUAAAAUUGAGAACUUAUAAGAUUUCAUAAAACGAAUAUUGUUUAUAUGUCGCACCUUGUCCUGCAAGCACCUAACAGAUUGCUUUACACGGUAUGACUCAAGCAUUCUUGACGCGUUUCAACUCCAGAAAGGUGAGCUCAAGCCUUUAAGUUUUUCUUAAUCACCCAGUGACUUAGCUUACCACCUCUAUCUUUAACUUAAAGUGAUAAGACAAAACCUUGAAUACUUUUCUUACUUAAGCGAUUAAGAAACAUAACACAACGAAAGGUACGAGAACUUUAAACUUUUAUUAAUUUUAAACCAUGCGUUUGACAACAACCUUUACAAACAAAUCUAUAGUUAUUACACAACCAAACAAAAGAACUAAACACUUGACAUGCUCUUCUCGCCUAGUACCUCUUCACCCUUUUUUUUACUUUUGGUCUUAACGCCUAGAUUGAAUAUCUGGGGAAUGAAAACUUAAAACAUAAGUCACAAGAGACUUAGUGAGAAAGUUUUAAGAAUUUUUUUUUGAAAUACAUUUCAUAAACAUCCUUAUUUCAUAUCAAUUGCGUAAAUAUAUCUUAUCGCAAAAACACACAUUAGUCGUCAUUAAACACUCCUUUUGCCAAGAACAUGAAUAAUUCUCUACGCUAAGACUCAUCAUCUUGAGUUUAGACUACUGUGAUGUCCUUUUCAUCAAUAGCAUUCAAGAAUAUCCUAAUCGUUCAAUCGUUGUUGCUCAGACCACCUAACACAAUAGAUACCUUUUAUGCAUUGACCAACUUUAUUCCACCAUGUGUAGUCCUUUUCUACAUGGCUGCCUUUAUCUCUUAUGUGCACAUAACAGUUAGCUCAAUGACGGGAACAAAACCAAUGGUUUGAACAGAGUUUCACAUUUAUAAAACAUACUUGAAGAAAAGCUUUUCAUAUAAACAAACAUUUUUAGAAGAAAUCACUCACCGUCACCUAUCUUCCCUUCUUCUGCAUCUUUUCGCCUAGAAGCUUUUUUUUCUCCAACAAAGUAACACUUGGUUUUCUUACAAAUUUUAAGAGGAAAUACUCUUUAGCAUUAUGUCUUCUUCCUCUAUUUAUACUAAUCUCAAAAUGAAUUAGUCACUUUUAAACUCUUAAUAACUUACAAGCUCUUGCUCUUAGUGGUGCACAUGUAAACUUAAUCUUUCUCAUUCUCAUGUUUAAACUUAAACUCGACACUUAAUCUACUAAUUAAACAUUAAUAGGAAAUUUCUGGAAAUUUCUUCUCUUUCAUCACAUAGCCUUUGCUCGCAAUGAGUUCUAGCUUGCCUAGUUUGUCUUUCUCGCAAAAUUCUUCUUUUGCGAAGAACUUCAAAACAUCCACUUUUAUCGCAUAGCUUGAAAAUACUUAACUUCUACCGAAUACUUUUUUCUCUCUCUCAUCACUUACCAAAAUCUUAACCUAUCUAUUUUAGGUACGGGUCUCACAUUAUAUAUAUAUAUCCACUAUUUAAAUGAAACAAAUACAUCAUAAGAAAGAAUAUUUGUAGAUUGUACACUUAAAUCCCUCCAUGUUAAAAAAGCACUCCUGCUUUAUAAUAAUAAUAAAAUUCAAAACAUUUUUGGACUUAACUUCACAAUUGACAUUGUAUGAUUUUCAUACUUGUAUAUAUCUUGUUUUUAGCAUCUAAUAAUAUUUUUUAAAAAGUAUUAACAUAUUGCAAUACAUGAUUAAAGUAAAAAAUGAAUGUUAGAUUAAUAUCAAUAUUAUAAUAAAAGUUCAAGGCAAAACAAAACACAUAGGAAGUAAAAUGAUGAAAAACAAACCGGUUAUUAAGAAAUGGUUGAAGAGAGUCUCUUGUAUGGUUGUAGAGAUGGUUAUAGAAGUUAAAAGUUACAUAGGUUUCAAAAAUCUCAUUACUAAAUAUAAAUUAAUAAAAUUCAGAAUUUAAAUUGUUAAAAUACUAAUAGUAUAAUCGAUUGGUAAAUUUGAUAUACAUUCAACAACAUGUUGGCUAUUAAGCUUAUUAUAAUGAAUGGUAAAUUUGAUAUAUACUAAUAGUAUAAUCGAUUGAUCUAGAGAAUAUAAAUAAAAUAUAUUAGUUGAGUGCGUGGUGUAUCAAAUAUAAAGUAUAUUAACUAACAUAAUUGAUUUAUGAAUGUUAAUUAUGUCAAAUAUACUGCUGGGGUAGAUCCAAUCAUAUGCCUAAAAGGGAGUAAAAUUGAAAUAAUAAAAAAAAGGGGAUGCAAUUUUUUGUUUUCUCUACAUUGGAAAUUUCAAAUAUAAAUGUUUCUUUUCCUAUUUUUGCAAGUAACCCUCUAAUAAAUAUAUACAUGACUUUGAGUAUAUGAUAAAAUACGAGGCAUCCGGUAGGUCUAGCGCUUAAAGCCAAAACACUAAGAUAAAGGAAGCUUGAAUGGCACUGCAAAUUAUAUAUCCUAUACUCCUAUUUGUAUUAUAGUUCUGCAAGGUUUGACUUUAUAUAUGUAGAUGUAUGGUUAAUAAAAAUAGAGAAAGAGGAAUCUGCCCUGUGAUUUAACGAAGAAAGUUGAGACCCCCACUCCUUGGUUGAGCUCGAGCAAAAUGAGCCGAAUCUAGCUCUUUGGGAAUAUUUCUAUUAACUUAGGUACACCAAGAAACUAUCAUCUCAUAAAUUGAUAAAAUUAUUGAUCUAUUUUCAUUUAAACGAGAGUUUGUAUCAAAAUGAACAUAAAUCAAUUAAUCAAUUAGUAGCGUACUUGUAAAGUCUACUUCAAAAUUAAAAGUUAAGGAUGAUUGAUGUUGUUAGAGAUCAUUCUUGAAUAAGCUUUUAAGAUUAAAAAGAAUAAAAAAUCAAAAUCCAAUUUUAAACUUAAGUAAUGAUAUUUAAUUAAUAUCACUCAGCAGAUACAACCUUAAUUUUUCCAUGGCGGCAAUUUGGAGCAAAGCGUUUCAAUAUUUUUUAUUUGUGCAAAGCAAAGAGCAUUGUUAAGUUAUAUUGACUUUUGGGAAAUUGGGCGGCCAUAUGAAUUAGCCAAGUAAAGUUUAAAAUUCAAUGGCUCCCUUGACACAAAUACCUAAAUUUGAGGCCAAGCUACUUGGAUAAAUUCACUAUAAAAAAGAUGCAUGCUUCAUUCAUUUUCUACCAAUUAUAACACAAAUUUGAGAACUUAAAAAACCAUCUUCCAUCUUCCAAUAUGGCAAGAAUUGCCAUAUUCCUUUUCUUCCUCUUUCUCUUCCUCUCAGCUGUGGUUGAGGGAGCUCCAAAGGCCAAGAAAGUUAAAUGCAAAGACAAGAAAUUUCCUCAAUGUUACAAAUCCGAACACUAUUGUCCGGCCGAUUGCCUUCGCACUUGCGUCGUAGAUUGUUCGUCUUGCCAGCCUGUUUGCACUCCACCUCCACCUCCGCCACCAUCGCCUCCUCCACCACCACCCAAACCGCGCAAGCUCAAAUCUCCACCCCCACCAUACAUUUACUCUUCGCCUCCGCCUCCACCUCCACGCAUUUACUCUUCCCCACCACCACCUCCUCCCUACAUUUACUCUUCUCCCCCACCACCUCCUCAUAUUUACUCUUCUCCCCCACCACCUCCGCCAACUACCGUGGAGCCUUCACCUCCACUUCCACCAGCACCAACACCUCCGUCGUCAUCCCCACCACCUCUUUCUCCACCACCUUCGUCUGAGGCGUCCGGGCAAAAAAAAGUUAGGUGCAAGAAUAGAGGGUAUCCACAUU
rnacentral:lncRNA from 1 species